rnacentral:ncRNA from 1 species
GGGAUGCACUUAGAACCCCGGGAGAAGCGUGUUAAUAGUUGUACUUUUGGCCAGGCAUGACGGUUAGUGAAUC